GUAUAUUGGACAAUGGGCGAAAGUCUGAUCAAGCCAUGCCGCGGGUGUGAAGAAGGUCCUCGUAGUGUAAAGCACUCUAAGUGGGGGGGAAGGGCAGGAAGCGAAUACCUUGCUGCUUUGACGUUACCGAAAGAAUAAGCACCGGCCACCCCCUUGCCAGCCGCCGCGGUAACACAGUGGGUGCAAGCGUUAAUCGGAAUUACUGGGCGUAAAGCGCGCGUAGGUGGUUCGUUAAGUUGGAUGUGAAAUCCCCGGGCUCAACCUGGGAGCUGCAUCAAAAACUGGCGAGCUAGAGUAGGGCAGAGGGUGGUGGAAUUUCCUGUGUAGCGGUGAAAUGCGUAGAUAUAGGAAGAAACACCAGUGGCGAAGGCGACCACCUGGGCUCAUACUGACACUGAGGUGCGAAAGCGUGGGGAGCAAACA
rnacentral:rRNA from 1 species